ACUCACUUGACAGAAUGUACUAAAAUUGGAACAGUACAGAGAAAAUUAGCAUGACCUCUGUGUAAGGAUGACACACAAAUUCAUGAAGUGUUCAAUGAAAAA
ensembl:snRNA U6 U6 spliceosomal RNA